UUUUUUACAUCUUUUGCAUUGUAUUUCAAUGUAUGUAUGUAUGUAUGUAUGGGAUAUAUCAUCAGUUAAGUUAUUGUUGUCAUUAUUGAGUUUUAUAAGGCAAGGAAGAGCUUUCAGCUGAUUUCAUCAAAAUACUUCAUUUCUUUUGACCCUGUUAUCAUCAUUAGUUCAAAAAGACAACACAACAGACAAAACGGAAGAUAAAAUUAUAGUUUUGGCCCCUUUACUAUGUGUACAAGCCCAAUUUUGGGCCCUAAAUACCCACACUAAACCCAUUAAUCCAAACACCCAUUGCCCAAACACAAAAUUUAAAAAAAAAAAGAAAAAAGAAAAAAAACCUAAACUAAGAAACCCUAUCCCACCGCCUCCAGUCACGUCGACAACAAGUGGCCUCUGCUCCACCGCCUCUGCACCUGCAAGCAUUAAGUGAAGGAAUAGACAGAUAUUAAGCAAAAAUAGAAAAUGUAAUAGAUAUAAAAGACCGAGCAGAAAACCAUUGGGGCUCUCGGCAUUUUUUUUAGAUACAAAUAAAGCAUUCAAUUUUUCUAGCAAGGAAAACAGCAAUAUCAUCCAUCAAAAGAAAAGAGAAACAGCAUCAAAAAAACUAAAAGCCCUCAGAAACAGAAGCCAUAGGCACAAGGUGAUUCGUUUACUUUCCUUUUUUUAUUGUUAUUUCAUAGCCAAAUCUACCUAUUAAAUGCCCUUAUAUAAGUAUAAAUAUACAACAUAAACAAAGGAAACACACUUAAAAACAAGAAAAGGAAAAUUUUUUACCUUCGACCGCCGUGCACCGCGGUCGCCGGCGCCAGAGACGCGGCGGAGGACGGUGGGAGACCGCCGGAGAACUGACCGAGCUCGAACCUGCAGAGAACACAAAGAGAAAGGCUUAGUUUUUUUUAGAAACAAACAGCAAAAAUGAUUUCAAAGACAAAAUUGAC
rnacentral:lncRNA from 1 species